rnacentral:misc_RNA from 1 species
UUCCGGCCGGCCCACAGAUCGGCUGCUCACAAGCAAAACAAUCACUUGAGAACAAUUCGCAAAUACCGCCAAAUGCCAGCAAGCCCGGUUCUUUCUGGUCCCUCAACCCGCAGAUGCGAUCCCGCGCGCUGGCCGUUUCAUGAUCUCCAUCAAACGCCACAUAGUCCUGAUGAAAGGCGCAGUCGCGGGACUUGCGCUGGGAGCGACGUCGCUGGGCUGGGGCGGCCGACGCCGCCCUGCCCCUGAAAGCGCCGCGCGCUGCGCCGGUUUUUGACUGGAGCGGGCUUUAUGUCGGCGGUCACGCGGGCUAUGGCGGCGGCA